UACGUAGGGUGCGAGCGUUGUCCGGAUUUAUUGGGCGUAAAGCGCGCGUAGGCGGCGCGGUAUGUCGUGCGUGAAAUCUCCCGGCUUAACUGGGAGGGGCCGUGCGAAACUGCCGGGCUUGAGGUCGGAAGGGGAAAGUGGAAUUCCGGGUGUAGUGGUGAAAUGCGUAGAUAUCGGGAGGAACACCAGUGGCGAAGGCGACUAUCUGGGUUGUAACUGACGCUGAGGCGCGAAGGCUAGGGGAGCGAACAGG
rnacentral:rRNA from 1 species